AUUGAACGCUGGCGGCAUGCCUUACACAUGCAAGUCGAACGGCAGCACGGACUUCGGUCUGGUGGCGAGUGGCGAACGGGUGAGUAAUGUAUCGGAACGUACCUUUCAGUGGGGGAUAACGUAGCGAAAGUUACGCUAAUACCGCAUAUUCUGUGAGCAGGAAAGCAGGGGAUCGAAAGACCUUGCGCUGAUUGAGCGGCCGAUAUCAGAUUAGCUAGUUGGUGGGGUAAAGGCCUACCAAGGCGACGAUCUGUAGCGGGUCUGAGAGGAUGAUCCGCCACACUGGAACUGAGACACGGUCCAGACUCCUACGGGAGGCAGCAGUGGGGAAUUUUGGACAAUGGGGGCAACCCUGAUCCAGCCAUGCCGCGUGAGUGAAGAAGGCCUUCGGGUUGUAAAGCUCUUUCGGCCGGGAAGAAAUAGCAUAGGCUAAUACCCUGUGUGGAUGACGGUACCGGAAUAAGAAGCACCGGCUAACUACGUG
rnacentral:rRNA from 1 species